rnacentral:rRNA from 1 species
AUUGAACGCUGGCGGCAUGCUUUACACAUGCAAGUCGAACGGUAACAGGCCGCAAGGUGCUGACGAGUGGCGAACGGGUGAGUAAUGCAUCGGAACGUGCCCAGUCGUGGGGGAUAACUACUCGAAAGAGUAGCUAAUACCGCAUACGAUCUAUGGAUGAAAGCGGGGGACCGUAAGGCCUCGCGCGAUUGGAGCGGCCGAUGUCAGAUUAGGUAGUUGGUGGGGUAAAGGCUCACCAAGCCAACGAUCUGUAGCUGGUCUGAGAGGACGACCAGCCACACUGGGACUGAGACACGGCCCAGACUCCUACGGGAGGCAGCAGUGGGGAAUUUUGGACAAUGGGCGCAAGCCUGAUCCAGCAAUGCCGCGUGCAGGAAGAAGGCCUUCGGGUUGUAAACUGCUUUUGUACGGAACGAAACGGCUCCGGUUAAUACCCGGGGCUAAUGACGGUACCGUAAGAAUAAGCACCGGCUAACUACGUG